rnacentral:rRNA from 1 species
GAUGAACGCUGGCGGCGUGCCUAAUACAUGCAAGUCGAGCGAAUGGAUUAAGAGCUUGCUCUUAUGAAGUUAGCGGCGGACGGGUGAGUAACACGUGGGUAACCUGCCCAUAAGACUGGGAUAACUCCGGGAAACCGGGGCUAAUACCGGAUAACAUUUUGAACAGCAUGGUUCGAAAUUGAAAGGCGACUUCGGCUGUCACUUAUGGAUGGACCCGCGUAGCAUUAGCUAGUUGGUGAGGUAACGGCGCACCAAGGCAACGAUGCGUAGCCGACCUGAGAGGGUGAUCGGCCACACUGGGACUGGGACACGGCCCAGACUCCUACGGGAGGCAGCAGUAGGGAAUCUUCCGCAAUGGACGAAAGUCUGACGGAGCAACGCCGCGUGAGUGAUGAAGGCUUUCGGGUCGUAAAACUCUGUUGUUAGGGAAGAACAAGUGCUAGUUGAAUAAGCUGGCACCUUGACGGUACCUAACCAGAAAGCCACGGCUAACUACGUGCCAGCCGCCGCUGUAA